rnacentral:rRNA from 1 species
CAAACGGGGGGGCAAGUGGGUUAAUUUGUAGCAACGCGCAGAACCUUUCCACCCCUUGACAUCCCGCUCGGGGACUCCAGAGAAGGAGUUUUUCCCUUUGGGGGGACUGGACACAGGUGCUGCAUGGCUGUCGUCAGCUGGUGUCGGGAGAUGUUGGGUUAAGUCCCGCAACGAGCGCAACCCUUGCCCUUAGUUGCCACCAUUUAGUUGGGCAUUUUAAGGGGACUCCCGGGUAUAAUCCGAGAGAAAGGGGGGGAAGACGUCAAGUCCUCAUGGCCCUUACGGGGGGGUUCACACACGUGACAAAAGGGGGGUCACAAGGGGCCGCUAAGGGGAGGGGGAGCCCAAAUCUAAAAAACCGUUUCCAGUUCGGAUGGGGUUCUGCAACUGGACCCCAUGAAGUGNAAUCGCUAGU